rnacentral:rRNA from 1 species
ACACAUGCAGUCGUACGAUGAACCGUGGAGCUUGCUUCAGCGGGAUUAGUGGCGAACGGGUGAGUAACACGUGAGUAACCUGCCCUUGACUCUGGGAUAAGCGUUGGAAACGACGUCUAAUACUGGAUACGACCUUCGACGGCAUCUCCUGGGGGUGGAAAGAUUUUUUGGUUGAGGAUGGACUCGCGGCCUAUCAGCUUGUUGGUGGGGUAAUGGCUCACCAAGGCGACGACGGGUAGCCGGCCUGAGAGGGUGACCGGCCACACUGGGACUGAGACACGGCCCAGACUCCUACGGGAGGCAGCAGUGGGGAAUAUUGCACAAUGGGCGCAAGCCUGAUGCAGCAACGCCGCGUGGGGGAUGACGGCCUUCGGGUUGUAAACCUCUUUUAGUAGGGAAGAAGCGAAAGUGACGGUACCUGCAGAAAAAGCACCGGCUAACUACGUGCCAGCAGCCGCGGUAAUACGUAGGGUGCAAGCGUUGUCCGGAAUUAUUGGGCGUAAAGAGCUCGUAGGCGGUUUGUCGCGUCUGCUGUGAAAACUGGAGGCUCAACCUCCAGCCUGCAGUGGGUACGGGCAGACUAGAGUGCGGUAGGGGAGAUUGGAAUUCCUGGUGUAGCGGUGGAAUGCGCAGAUAUCAGGAGGAACACCGAUGGCGAAGGCAGAUCUCUGGGCCGUAACUGACGCUGAGGAGCGAAAGCGUGGGGAGCGAACAGGAUUAGAUACCCUGGUAGUCCACGCCGUAAACGUUGGGAACUAGAUGUGGGGGCCAUUCCACGGUCUCCGUGUCGCAGCUAACGCAUUAAGUUCCCCGCCUGGGGAGUACGGCCGCAAGGCUAAAACUCAAAGGAAUUGACGGGGGCCCGCACAAGCGGCGGAGCAUGCGGAUUAAUUCGAUGCAACGCGAAGAACCUUACCAAGGCUUGACAUACGCGAGAACGGGCCAGAAAUGGUCAACUCUUUGGACACUCGUGAACAGGUGGUGCAUGGUUGUCGUCAGCUCGUGUCGUGAGAUGUUGGGUUAAGUCCCGCAACGAGCGCAACCCUCGUUCUAUGUUGCCAGCACGUUAUGGUGGGAACUCAUAGGAGACUGCCGGGGUCAACUCGGAGGAAGGUGGGGAUGACGUCAAAUCAUCAUGCCCCUUAUGUCUUGGGCUUCACGCAUGCUACAAUGGCCGGUACAAAGGGCUGCGAUACCGUAAGGUGGAGCGAAUCCCAAAAAGCCGGUCUCAGUUCGGAUUGAGGUCUGCAACUCGACCUCAUGAAGUCGGAGUCGCUAGUAAUCGUGAAUCAGCAACGUCACGGUGAAUACGUUCCCGGGCCUGGUACACACCGCCCAUCUAGACCAGAAAAUCCGUCUUAGAGUAAUCCGGUGCUCAGUAACUCGU